GACGAACGCUGGCGGCGUGCUUAACACAUGCAAGUCGAACGGAAAGGCCCCCAUCUUGGUGGGGGUGCUCGAGUGGCGAACGGGUGAGUAACACGUGGGUGAUCUGCCCUGUACUUCGGGAUAAGCUUGGGAAACUGGGUCUAAUACCGGAUAGGACCAUGGUUUAGUGUCUCAUGGUGGAAAGAUUAUUGUUUUGGUGCAGGAUGAGCUCGCGGCCUAUCAGCUUGUUGGUGGGGUAAUGGCCUACCAAGGCGUCGACGGGUAGCCGGCCUGAGAGGGUGGACGGCCACAUUGGGACUGAGAUACGGCCCAGACUCCUACGGGAGGCAGCAGUGGGGAAUAUUGCACAAUGGGCGCAAGCCUGAUGCAGCGACGCCGCGUGGGGGAUGACGGCCUUCGGGUUGUAAACUCCUUUCGUUAGGGACGAAGCCGCACUUUUUUUGGGUGUGGUGACGGUACCUUUGUUAAGAAGCACCAGCUAACUACGUG
rnacentral:rRNA from 1 species